rnacentral:rRNA from 1 species
CGCCUCUUGUAAUACCAAAAUAAGAGGUCCCGCCUGCCCUGUGACUAUAUGUUUAACGGCCGCGGUAUUUUGACCGUGCGAAGGUAGCGCAAUCACUUGUCUUUUAAAUAGAGACCUGUAUGAAUGGCACGACGAGGGCUUAACUGUCUCCUUAUCCAAGUCAAUGAAAUUGAUCUUCCCGUGCAGAAGCGGGUAUAACAACAUAAGACGAGAAGACCCUAUGGAGCUUUAGAUGAAUGGUAAAUUACGUAAGAAACCUUGAUUAAAAGAAUAAACUAAGUAAACAUUACCCAAAUAUCUUUGGUUGGGGCGACCGCGGGGUAAAACAUAACCCCCGUGAGGAGCGAGGUAUAAACCUUAAAACUACGAGCACCAGCUCUAAGUAUCAAAACAUUUGACCUUUAGAUCCGGCAUAGCCGAUCAACGAACCGAGUUACCCUAGGGAUAACAGCGCAAUCCUCUUUCAGAGUCCCUAUCGACAAGAGGGUUUACGACCUCGAUGUUGGAUCAGGACAUCCCAAUGGUGCAGCCGCUAUUAAAGGUUCGUUU